UACGUAGGGGGCUAGCGUUGUCCGGAUUUAUUGGGCGUAAAGAGCGUGUAGGCGGUCAGGUAGGUCCGUUGUGAAAACUCGAGGCUCAACCUCGAGACGCCGAUGGAAACCAUCUGACUAGAGUCCGGAAGAGGAGAGUGGAAUUCCUGGUGUAGCGGUGAAAUGCGCAGAUAUCAGGAGGAACACCUGUGGUGUAGACGGCUCUCUGGACCGCAACUGACGCUGAGACACGAAAGCGUGGGUAGCAAACAGG
rnacentral:rRNA from 1 species